rnacentral:lncRNA from 1 species
GCAUGGCUUGAACAUGGCAUCAUCAUUUGGCAAGAUCAAAUUUCAAACAGCUGUACACAUUUGCCUUGCAUUCCAAGUUGUAUUUAGACUCAUUCACACUUGAUUAUGGACCUAAUUGAGUGACUUCAUGGGCCUGUAUACGCCCAUGCAAGCAUGCAUCAUCCAUUGCCAAAUUUGGAAGUUAAAUUUGAAGGUGCAAAUAUCACAAGCUGCAAUUAUAAAUUGAGGCCUCUAGCAUCAGAAUUGAGGACCCUUGUGCGCCAGCUUUG